UACGUAGGGGGCAAGCGUUGUCCGGAAUUAUUGGGCGUAAAGAGCGCGUAGGCGGUCCGAUAAGUCGGCUGUGAAAGUCAAGGGCUCAACCCUUGAAAGCCGGCCGAUACUGUCGGACUAGAGUCCGGAAGAGGCGAGUGGAAUUCCCGGUGUAGCGGUGAAAUGCGCAGAUAUCGGGAGGAACACCGGUGGCGAAGGCGGUUCUCUGGGCCUUACCUGACGCUGAGGAGCGAAAGCGUGG
rnacentral:rRNA from 1 species